AUUGAACGCUGGCGGCAGGCCUAACACAUGCAAGUCGAACGAGUGGCGGACGGGUGAGUAAUGUCUGGGAAACUGCCCGCUGGCGGGGGAUAACUACUGGAAACAGUAGAUAAUACCGCAUACCAUCGGAUGUGCCCAGAUGGGAUUAGCUAGUAGGCGGGGUAAUGGCGCACCUAGGCGACGAUCCCUAGCUGGUCUGAGAGGAUGACCAGCCACCCUGGAACUGAGACACGGUCCAGACUCCUACGGGAGGCAGCAGUGGGGAACAUUGCACAAUGGGCGCAAUCCUGAUGCAGCCAUGCCGCGUGUAUGAAGAAGGCCUUCGGGUUGGAAAGGACUUUCAGCGAGGAGGCGUUACUCGCAGAAGAAGCACCGGCUAACUCCGUGCCAGCAGCCGCGGUAAUUC
rnacentral:rRNA from 1 species